GUUUGAUCAUGGCUCAGAUUGAACGCUGGCGGCAGGCUUAACACAUGCAAGUCGAGCGGUAACAGAGAUAGCUUGCUAUCUGCUGACGAGCGGCGGACGGGUGAGUAACGCGUAGGAAACUACCCGGUAGUGGGGGACAACCGUUGGAAACGACGGCUAAUACCGCAUACGCUCUACGGAGGAAAGGGGGCUUCGGCUCUCGCUAUCGGAUGUGCCUGCGUGAGAUUAGCUAGUUGGUGGGGUAAAGGCCUACCAAGGCGACGAUCUCUAGCUGGUCUGAGAGGAUGAUCAGCCACACUGGGACUGAGACACGGCCCAGACUCCUACGGGAGGCAGCAGUGGGGAAUAUUGGACAAUGGGCGCAAGCCUGAUCCAGCCAUGCCGCG
rnacentral:rRNA from 1 species